CCUUUACCAGCCGGCGACCGGCGCACGGGUGAGUAACACGUAUGCAACCUGCCCGUGGCAGGGGGAGUAAGCGGGGGAAACCCCGUCUAAUACCGCGUAACGCGGCCUUGGGGCAUCCCAAGGCCGCCAAAGGGAGCAAUCCCGGCCACGGAUGGGCAUGCGGCGCAUUAGCUAGUCGGCGGGGUAACGGCCCACCGAGGCGACGAUGCGUAGGGGUUCUGAGAGGAAGGCCCCCCACCACUGGUACUGAGACACGGACCAGACUCCUACGGGAGGCAGCAG
rnacentral:rRNA from 1 species